ACCUUCCCUGGGGCCGGCGCUGGGGGUACAGGAGGAAGAGGGAUGGCUCCCGUCCUCUGAGGAGGCCCCUCCCGGGAGGGAACCAGCUUUGUGAUUAACCGCGACUCAAGUUAAGGGCCUUGAGAGGCAUGGACGCCCUGCCCUGCGAGGCCUCCCUCCUUCACACGCCUGCUCCUUCAUUCUUCCGUUGAACAAAUGCUUUGUGAGCAGCUGCUGAGUUCCAGGCCUGUGCUUGGCUCUGGGGACGAGAAGAUGGAGAAGAAAUAGCCAAGCCUUCAGCGCACUCACAGCCCAUUGAGGGAGACGUGCUCUAUGGAGAGAGAGAGAGGAGCCGGGUGCAGAGACUGUGCUGCUGGCACUACGUGAGGUGACCAGACAGCUGGCAGGAAGCUUCUGGAGAUGAGUGAAAUCUUUAGGAGCAGGCAUGGGUGGUGAGCAGGGCAACAGGAAAAGCCCAGUGGGCUGAACCUCCCUUCCAAGCGCCCAUCACACGCUGCCCGGAAUUCCACCAUCAAAGCCAUUCCUGUGGAUUCGGCUCCUCCGACAUUGAGGGUGUCCUGAAGCCCCCUUCAAUCAGACUCUCCUGCCGAGGCGGGGUGGCCUCGGUGUACGAGAGCUCUCCGAACCCCUCCAGGACGGUGGCACCUCUCCGGAGAGAUCAGGCGCUCAGAAGAGCAGUGGCCAGGCCUCGCCGGGCCUCACCCGGGAAGAAGCGGGUCAGGGUGACGAGGAAAGCCCCCAGCAAGGUGGCACCCCACAGCACCCACACACGCGGCCACAGCAGCGAGCCCACCGCCUGCGCUGCACCCCGGAGCGCAGCUCCGAGAGCGAUCGCCCCUCCCCAGGGCUCACACCUCGGCCCCUACCCCGUUGGAGCGACAGCCUCCUGGCCCAGCUUCGGUCAUCCCCAGGGCCUCCCACUCCGUCGUGCACCCUUUGGUUAGGGUCGUGGGUUGUAAUGUGUCCUCCCCACCAAAAUAUGUUGAAGUCCUAACCCCGGUACCUGUGAAUGUGACAUCAUUUGGAAAUAGGGUCUUUGCAGAUGUAAUUAGUUAAGAUGAGGCCAUACUGGAUUCAGGCGGGUCCUAAACCCAACGACUGGUGUCCUUAUAAGAAGGCCACGUAAAGACACAGGGACACAGAGACCCACAGGGAGAAGACAGCCGUGUGAAGACGCAGGCAGAGAUGGGGUGGGUGUGUCUGUCUAUCAGCCAAGGGGCGCCAAAGAUCACUGGAAGCCACCAGAAGCUGAGAAGAUGGAAGAAAGUGCUCCUUCCUAGAGCAUUCAGGGGAAGCAUGGCCCCCUGGACACCUUGAUUUUGGACUUCCAGUCUCCAGAACUGUGAAAGAAUAAACGUCUGUGGUUUGAAGCC
rnacentral:lncRNA from 1 species